AAUCAAACUGCGUAAAUAGUCAGUAUUCCGACGCUGUGCACUUUAUACGCAUUAAUAGAGAGUCGAUAUAUCAACAGUUCGUGCUCAAAGGAGUGCAGCCGCCCGGAGCGACGCGAUGACGUCACGUUUUGACUUAACGAGAUUUGUUAUACAGAGGCUCGCGGGAAAAUUGAUUAUUAUGAAAUUAACACAAUCGGGUCCUUUAGAGGAAUGAAGCUUUUAAACAUCU